UAGUUGCUUCAGGUAACGGUAUGGACUGUCAUGUCUGGGUAACAGCCAGCACAAGGAGUCUCUUCCCACAGGAACCUGGGAGGAAAAUAAACAGGUUACUUCCUCCUCCUGGUCCCACUGGUCCUCAUACCUGCCCUCUCUAUACAGCUAGAUCGGAAUAAUGUGACUGGUCUCACUCUUUCAGGCUAAGACUGUAGCUUAUGCCCCUGGGAAGCAUGAUGCUUGAUCUUAGUUGUCAACAUGAUUGAUUUUAAAAUCAUCUGGAAUCAGACCUUCAGAAGUGUCUAGCCGGCUGUUCCUGGCGAGGCUUACCUGAAUGGGGAGACCCACCUGAAAAAAAAGGGGAGGGGGGAAGAAAAGAGAAAGCAAGUCGAAUGCCAGCCUUUCUUGCUUGAUUUCCUGUUUCGUUGAGUGUGGAGAGGGAGGAGUCACAGCUGAGGAGCACUUCCGCUACUUUGUCUUUCCUACUCGAUGGACCACAUCCUCACACUGUGAACCAAAGCAGUCCCUCCAUUGAGUUGCUUUUCAGCUUUUUUGUUUGGGUUUUGCAAUUCUGAAAAUCCAUCCCAGCCAAACAUUGAGUUAUGCCCUCAGUCCUUCAGUGGCCUUUUGUCACGGCAGUGAAAAGUGUCUGUCUCCAGAUGGCUCGUUAGACCCAAGAAGCAAUUCUCUUUCAUUUAUAAUAUCUGCAAGUAUUUGAAUUGAUACUGAUAUCUUCAGAUUUUAUUGAAAGCUGCUGUGCAGGUCCCAGCUAUUCCAUGCCUUCAUGGCAGAUGAGAAGUGUGUGGCUGUCUGCAAGCAGAGUGUGAAAGAUGGCACAGAUUGUUUUCUUAGGUGCACACAGGCUGACCCUGAAGAUGCACACGUGCCAUUGAAAUAAACCAAGAGUAUUGUGUGGCUUCCAGAGCCCUGCCUGUUCAUGCACCUCUUCCUCUUCCACUCGAACUCAUGUUAGCAGGUAAGCUAGUGAGUAUAAGUAUAAGGCUUUAUAGGGACUACCUUAAAUAACACACAUUUAUAGUAAAUGGCAAACAAAUAAACCAAUUAUAAAUAUUAGACUUCUUGUCACAGACACUGUGUUUAUUCAGACAAUGUCACAUGUCAUGUUUUUAAUUUAUGUUUUUGCAAUUGGUCUCAAACUUCUGGGGAACAUUUUAUUGUUUAUGUAACUUUUAGGAAAGAACACAAUGUUCUUUAGUCAAGAGUCUGAAUAACAGUGUGGAAGAGAAUGCUUGGAAAGAAUUGCAGUAGAGCCUUUACUGCCGCUAGACAGGUAUUGUUUCAGAAUGAUUAACAUAAUGAUUAUUAAUAUUUAAGCUGAACCAUAUAAAUGUAAAUGGCACACAUCUUUCCCUUAUAAUGUAAUUUCAUCCAGUUAAAACUAAUUAAUUUGUUAAUGUUUUCUACUAAUCUACCAUUUAUCUAAAACACACUUGGAAUAUUUUCUAAACCUCAUAAGAAGUAGGAAGGUAGCAUUACAAUGAAUCUUUUGUGUUUCUGUGAGUUUUUCUAAAGAUAAGACAGUUCGUCAAUUAUGUCUCCAUGCUGGCACAGUGUUAGUCUGCACCGGCAUAUGUGUUAUUUGGAGGACACUGGCACAGUCCAGGAUAGCUCUGGCCCAUAGAAUUUGCCCAAUAGUUGGAAGAACAAGAUAUAUAUAUAUAAGCUACCUGUAAAUGUACAUGCUACAUUGUUUCAGUUCCUAUUGUCUCUAGGUGCCACAUAGACACAUAGACACAUUUGUUUCUAGAACAACAGUGCUAGCACUUCCUUUCACUCAGUUUCCCUAAUCUUCAUAUCUUACAUAGCCAUACGCAUUUUCUCAACCCAGGUAUUACCAUUAAUACAUUAUUAAGUAAACUACAUGUCUUUUCAGGUUUAAUGAGCUUUUUAAAUAAUGGGUAUCUUUUUUUUUCUGUUCCAGGGCCUAAUAUUAUAUUUAGCAAAUAUGUGUUUAAUACAGGAUAAAAUAGAAAGGAAAGAUGAAAGGAGUUUUAUAAGUACUCA